rnacentral:rRNA from 1 species
GUGGGGAAUCUUGCGCAAUGGGCGAAAGCCUGACGCAGCCAUGCCGCGUGGAUGAUGAAGGUCUUAGGAUUGUAAAAUCCUUUCACCGGUGAAGAUAAUGACUGUAGCCGGAGAAGAAGCCCCGGCUAACUACGUGCCAGCAGCCGCGGUAAUACGAAGGGGGCUAGCGUUGCUCGGAUUUACAGGGCGUAAAGGGCGCGUAGGCGGGAAGGUGUGUCGACCUGUAAAUCUAUCGUUUCAAGCGGUAGGCUUGGGUUGAAACUGCAUUUGUAGAGGAUUUCAGGGGAGUUUGGAAUUUACGGUGUAGCAGUGAAAUGCGUGGAUAUCGUAAGGAAGGCUUGUGGCGAAGGCGAAACUCUGGGGAAUACCUGACGCUGAGGCGCGAAGGCUAGGUUAGCAAACGGGAUUAGAAACCCUGGUAGUCC